UCCCCUCCGUGAGAGCGCCCCAAUCCCUCCCUCCGUCAGUGAGAGCGUCGUCCGCUGCGAGACCGUCCGCGACAGCUCCGUCCUUGAGCACCGUCCGUGCGAGCUCCGUCCGCGACAACUCCGUCCGCGUGAGCCCCGUCCUCAAGCGUCGCCCGCGUUCGCAGCCGUCCGUGCGAGCGCCGUCCGCGACAGCGCCGUCCUCGAGCGCCGUCCUCCGACACGGUGGAUUUGGCCUUCCUCCGACGUCGCCCUCGCCCGCCGACCUCACUAGACAUCGCACCCGUGUUGUCACCGUCACCCUCGCUGUUGCGAGCCGCGGCUGCCCUCGCCUGCUGCACGAGCUCUGUGAUCCCGAUGUAAUAGGCAGAGGCUAUGGUGGCGGUGGUCCCUGUGCAUUCGCCUGGCUCCGGUGAGGAAUCGGCGUGGGGCCAAGUGCAGGGGCCGUGUGGGGCCAUUGGGCGCUGGACGGGGCAGCAGGGCCGCGGGCACCGCCGCGGCGCGCGGGCUCAGAGGAGGACGAGGACCAGGGCCCAGCAUGCUACAUCCCCGUCAAGGCCUACUUCCUGUCCACCAGGUCCACUCAUCUAUGGAUGCACUAAAAGCCUGUGUUUGAACAAAUUCAGAGCCAAACUAAGAGCAAGGGCUCCAAUGUAUGAACUACCUACUGCCGGACAUCAAGUGCAGUGUCUUCUUGCCACAGUAGGAAAUGAGUGCCAGCCUCAACGCUAACGAUGUGAGCGCGGUGGCAUGCCUCCACACAGGGUAGAGGUGGAAGAGCAGCAACCCCAACCAGUAAACCAUGCUCGUUUGGGAGAUCAAAAAAUGGAGAGUGAUUGUCACAUACCUGUCAAAGGUUACACAAAACGAGAUCGUGGAUAUGUUUAGGUCAGCAGGGUUUGUCUGGAUGUGUCGAUUCCACGUAAGUCUGGUGAAGGGUAUGUAUGGAAAAAAAAGCGCCACAGAUCGACAAACAGGUUACCAAUGUACAUUGAUUUUGCAUUGUAGCUGUUUGCUUCAUCUCUAUCAACCCUCCUAUUUUUGUAUGGAAAUAUCAAAUCCUAUGUGUCAGUCUCUUGUAUAUUUUUUUUUAUUGUUACCCAAAUCCAUCACUAAACUUAGCUCAUUCGUGUGACUUGGUAUGGUUGGUUGGACUGGGCUCUUGCCUUAUGUCAUUUAGGGUCCACCACCGGCAACAGAGGACAUCCAAUCUUGCCACAUUGAUCUUUCAGUGAUCAAUCUCGGCUUGGUAUCUUUCAGUGAUCAAUCCCGUGAACGUAUAGGUACCGACUACCUUCUAUCUUCAUGGUGAAAGGUGUCUUUUUGAUAUGCACUAUAAUUGGCAGAUGUCCUCCUGUAAAGAAGAUAUUACUAGCCAACCUAAUAUGUUUGAGUGGUAACCUACUAUUUGUCAACUUUUUUUGGUGUAGUUGUGCAGACAAAUUUGUGGAGGAAUACGAUAAGGAAUUAAAAACUCUUUUCUUUUUUCUGAUUGGUGAAUACUGGAAUAGCCUUUUCUAACUUAUGAAUAGUUUACCGCACAUAUUAUGCUUGUACAAUAAAAAUGCAAAUUGAAUUCAAUUGAUGUUUUUGUUAGUUUAUCAGUUUACUUUUUUCAUUGCAAUUUUUAGCUAAACCAUAACUUAGAGAAAUUUUCCUUUUUUAGUUAACAAUAGAUAGAAUUUACUUUACAUAGUUUUUUUUCCUUUUUUAACCUUAGAGGACACUUUAGCUGACAGAAUGUGUCAGGUUAAGUAAAACUUUACUGUAAUGAAGAUGAGUGUGUGAGAUGAGUGAGGUCUCGAUCUGCCUUUGAAACCUUCAUGUGUGUGAGAUGAGUGAGAUCUCUGUCCGCCUUGUGCCUUUGCAGCUGUUGUUUAGCCCUCAGCGAACUGGCUGGCAUCUAGAAGACACUGACGGUCAAGCUUUUUAUUUAUUUUGGAUUUUGGAUAUUGAGAAAUAGGAGAAUGCCUAGAAGCAGCAAGAUGAACUGAGAAAGUUGAACCUCAGAAACUGUAUGACCUGAACAAUAACACUAAUUUGUUCAUCUUCUCAUGUUUGCAUGAUCAUUUUCCUUUUGUCUAUAGAGACUAGAGAAGUACUAUUCUGUUUCAGCAAAGCAGUAGGUCUGAACUCUGAAGGUUAAAGAGUAGUGGAUAGCUAAUGCAGUGGCACAAGCAGUAAUAGUUCAUAGUUUUUUCUAUAAAAAAAUUCUGAUUUUCAGGAGUAGUGGCUUUAGAAGUCCAAUUAUACAGUUUGUAUACUUGAUAAUAUUAGUAUACCAGAACUAUAUUACCAAGCAUGAUGGACUUUGUGUCUCGCUUGACUUUGGAUCAGCUUGAUCUUGAAUUCCAAUAUAUAGGAUCAGUCGGCUUAGUGUUUGCUAUUUGGUGGCCUAUUGUAUCACAUCUUGUUUAGCUUUUCAUGAUUGUGGCCUAAGAUUUAUGUGUCAAUUUUACUUUUUAAUAUGAUAAAUGGCAGCUAUAUCUUUGUUUGAAUCUGCCUGUAGGUUGCUGCUUUAAUCUCUGUUUUUCAGCAAAAAAAAGAAGUAGCAUGGAUUUCAAAGCAGAAAAGAGGAGCAAAUGAAUGUGCCAUGUCAAAACAAAGAUGACAAUAUGCUGCUACAGAUGUAUUUCUUUUCAUGCAUUGAUGCUGCUUAGUAAUUUGCUUCUAUAGUUAGUUGUGUUUCACUUCUCAACUCCAACGGACAAAACUAAUCUUUUGUUUUCUUAAAUAAGUGCAUACUAAUGUUUGGGUGAUCAAAUCUUUAUUGGUGCAGUACCAAGACAAAAAUAAUAUGUUAACCCUCAUCAGACUCAUUUUGGCACCAUAUUUACAGAGAUCAAUGCAGAGACUGAGUAAAUGGAUAUUUAGGUCAACAACUUACGAAGCAAUACCUGUGGUUGUUAUGAUGUGUAUACAGCAGCGACAUAGCCACCGCCACAUUUGCCUCCUUGCAUGGAUGGGGUUGUUGGGCUCCCCGUUGGCAGAGCCUAAUGGGUGGCUACCAAAGUUGCCUGUGCGUGUCCUAUGGAGCUAUAAUCAAAUGAAAAAUGUCCUUGCUAUGGAGCUGGUAGUGGACCUACACUUCCAUCAGUAAGAGGUGCCACAGUCGGUUCAAGAAGUUGGUUUGGUAUGAUAGAAAUGACAGCAUGUCCCUCCAAAUGAGAAGGGGGUGAAAUCAGUGAUGGACAGUGUUUAAUUAGUGUCAUUGGAAAAUACUUGAUGUGGAUUUACUGAGCUUCUCAUGCUUAGAUCUCAUUGUCGAGCUUAGAUUUUUUUUCACUGUAUUCCAAAUUAGUGAUCCUUGCAAUAUUGAUUUUAACAGAGACUAGCUGGAACUUCAUUAUUAGUUGCAAGGUCAUAUGUGCUUUGCAAUUUAAAAUUCACAAUAAGAUAUGACAUGUGGCAAUUUCUAA